ACUACGGGGAGCAGCAGUGGGGAAUAUUGGACAAUGGGCGAAAGCCUGAUCCAGCCAUGCCGCGUGUGUGAAGAAGGCCUUCGGGUUGUAAAGCACUUUCAGUGGGGAAGAAAGCCUUGGGGCUAAUACCCUCGAGGAAGGACAUCACCCACAGAAGAAGCACCGGCUAACUCCGUGCCAGCAGCCGCGGUAAUACGGAGGGUGCGAGCGUUAAUCGGAAUUACUGGGCGUAAAGCGCGCGUAGGCGGUCUGAUAAGCCGGUUGUGAAAGCCCCGGGCUCAACCUGGGAACGGCAUCCGGAACUGUCAGGCUAGAGUGCAGGAGAGGAAGGUAGAAUUCCCGGUGUAGCGGUGAAAUGCGUAGAGAUCGGGAGGAAUACCAGUGGCGAAGGCGGCCUUCUGGACUGACACUGACGCUGAGGUGCGAAAGCGUGGGUAGCAAACAGGAUUAGAUACCCCGGUAGUC
rnacentral:rRNA from 1 species